rnacentral:lncRNA from 1 species
UAUGUUUUAAUUCUAUUAAUGCAGUCUCCUUUCCUUCCCUCCCCUUUCUCUGUAAUAGCAUCACUACCAAAUUGUUGCCUGCUUUGAAGGCCUCAGUCGGUCACAUCCUCCUUGCACAAUUUCAGCUCUAAACAGAGGGAGAGAAAUCACCAAGCAGAAGAUGUUUUGGCUCUUUUUCAAUAUAUCCACAAAAAAGGAUGGGAAAUAGCACCUUGUUCUACAGUAUCCUAAGGACUGAAAAUUCAAUGAACUUUUCAAAGCAUCUUAUAAAAACACUUGCCAACACCUACAAAAGUUAGUGGAGGGAAAUGUUGGGAGACAACAGUCCAACAGAAGUUCCAAGGAAAAGUGGGAAAGAAAGAAGAUGGGCUGGUCACAUGAUGGGAAUGACCACAUGAUCUAUGCCAAGACAAAUCAAGAAACUCCUCAGCAUGAAAACAUCAUGGAAAAUAUUUGACAACAUGGACAAAAGUUGAAAAGAAUGGGCAGGCAUGGAAGGUUGUGAUCAUCAUUGACGUAGUUGGGUGGUACAGAGACUAGAGCACUGGGCCUGGAGUCCGGAAGACCUAUGUUCAAAUCUAGCCUUUAGGUACUUACUACCUGUAAAUUGAAGAUAAUAAGCCCUUACCUUGCAGAGUUGUUGUGAGGAUAAAAUGAGAUAAUAAUUAUAAAGCACUUAGCAUAGUGCCUGGCACAUAGUAAGCACUAUACUAACAUUUGCUAUUAUUAAUUAUUAUUGUUGUUAUUAUUAGCUUUGGAUGGAAUACCCACAAUGAUUAGAUCACAGAACCACUGGAAUACUGGCUAGUCUUUACCUAUUUAUUGCCAGAUUGCUUCCCAGUUUUGCCAAAAGCCUUUUGCCUCAUAGUUCCCCUUUUUAGGCUUCAACAAAUAUCAUGAUAUUAUAUAUUUAUUUUCACCUCUUGCUAGUCAUCUGAUACCAGAUUUUUAUAAUUAAAGUGUUU